rnacentral:rRNA from 1 species
ACCUGGUUGAUCCUGCCAGUGAGCGUACGCUUUUCUCAAGGACUCAGCCAUGCAAGUGUUAAAGUUCAUACGAUUUAAAAGUGAGACUGCGGACGGCUCAGUAAAUCAGCAAUUAUCUAUCUGAUUGUAUAUACCCAUUGGAUAACCGUGGGAAAUCUAGAGCUAAUACAUGCGUUUAAAUUAUGGGGUACUGAGCAAUCAGUGCCUCAUAAAGCAUUUAUUGGUUAAAACCAACUACUGGUGUGUGUAACAGCAUAUCAGUGUGGAUGAAUCUAGAUAACUUUGCUGAUCGUAGUGGCGUAAUUGCCGGCGACGUUUCAGUUGAAUUUCUGCCCUAUCAAUUGGUUGGUAAGGUAGUGGCUUACCAAGGUUGUAACGGGUAACGGGGGAUCAGGGUUCGAUUCCGGAGAGGGAGCCUGAGAAACGGCUACCACAUCCAAGGAAGGCAGCAGGCGCGCAAAUUACCCAAUCCAGACAGUGGGAGGUGGCGACGAGAAUUACUGAGUGGUAGCCUUAAUGGUUAUCGACUUAGAAUGAACGUGAUUUAAGAAAUCCGUUGAGUAACAACUGGAGGGCGAGUCUGGUGCCAGCAGCCGCGGUAAUUCCAGCUCCAGUAGCGUACCUCAAAGUUGCUGCGUUUAAAACGCUCGUAGUUGGAUCACAUGGUUAGGCCUAGUGAAUUAGCGUGUUAGUACGCUAAAUCCUCAAGUGUAGAUGUGACGGUGUGUUAUCGCCGUUGCAGUUUAUAUGUUGUGGAGUACUGCACGUUGAUUGUUAGCUAGGCUUAACUGAUUGCGUAUGGGGAUAGCAGUUGACCUUAAGUGAGUCGAUUGUUGUGUCCCAUAGAGUGUGCCUUGAAUAAAACAGAGUGCUCAAAGCAGGCUUGAUGCCUGAAUGUUAACAGCAUGGAACGAACAAUUGUGGCAACAUGAUAUUGUUGCAACUGGCAAUGUACUUAUUUGUAUGUUGUCAUGUUGUGGCAGUAUCAUAGCACCAACCACUAAUAACGGAUGUUGGUUCCGUAUUAGGGUGAUGAUUAAGAGGAGCGGUUGGGGGCAUUGGUAUUUUGCCGCGAGAGGUGAAAUUCUUGGACCGGCAAAGGACUAACAAAUGCGAAGGCAUUUGCCUAGACCGUAUCCAUUAAUCAAGAACGAUAGUGGGAGGUUCGAAGACGAUCAGAUACCGUCCUAGUUCCCACCGUAAACUAUGCCGACUCGGGAUCAGUUUGGUGCUAUUACCAACGCUCGAAGUUGAUCCCCCUGGGAAACCUGAAGUUUUUCGGUUACGGGGGGAGUAUGGUUGCAAGGCUGAAACUUAAAGGAAUUGACGGAAGGGCACCACCAGGGGUGGAGCCUGCGGCUUAAUUUGACUCAACACGGGGAAACUCACCCGGUCCGGACAUCGAAAGGAUAGACAGAUUGAUAGAUCUUUCUUGAUACGGUGAUUGGUGGUGCAUGGCCGUUCUUAGUUCGUGGAGUGAUCUGUCAGGCCUAUCCCGGUAACGAACGAGACCACAAUCUUCAUUUGAGAAGCAGCAGAAUUCGACAAACGAUUGCUGGCAUGGUAAAACAUGUCAGUAUAUUGUUUCUUGAGAGGCAGAAAAGUCCCUGCGCUGCGAUUGCCUCACGGUGGUCGUAGUGUAGGGCACUGAUCUCCAUGCUGCCAAGCAGUGCAAGGCUGAAAGGUUAAACACUGUAUCAUGAAGAGACAACUGUGUAUAUAUCAAAGACAGAGGAAGUGUGGCAAUAACAGGUCUGUGAUGCCCUUAGAUGUUCGGGGCUGCACGCGCGCUACAAUGAUGACUACAACAAGCUUCUGGGUCGAGAGACUCGGGUAAUCAGUAAUAGUCAUCGUGAUGGGGAUUGACCGUUGUAAUUAUCGGUCAUGAAAGAGGAAUCCCUAGUAUGUGCACGUCAUAAGCGUGCGCGGACUGAGUCCCUGCCCUUUGUACACACCGCCCGUCGCUACUACCGAGUGAAUGGUAUCGUGAUGCCUUGGGACUGGACGCCGUGCGAGCUUCGGUUCGCAAUGGCGCUGGGAUCAAUGUAAAACGGUGCAAUUUCGAGGAAGUAAAAGUCGUAACAAGGCCUCCGUAGGUGAACCUGCGGAGG